rnacentral:lncRNA from 1 species
AUUCCUCCCCCAACCAAAUCCCACCAACCCAUUUUUCCUGAACAAUCUUUCUUUCUGGUUCUCCCAUUCUCUUCUACUUCUUCAAAGAGGAGAGAAGAGAGAGAGAGAGGGAGAUACUGAAAGUAAAGCAACCAACCAGCAAUGGCGGCAGUAACCACCAUCUCCAACUUCGCCACCUUUCACUCUCAGUUUCCCCCUUCACCAACCAACCCCCACCAUUUCUCUUUAUCCCCAAAAAAACUUCACUCUCACCAUCGUCGCCCGCACUAACAUCACCGCAACUCCUUCCGUCCAACUCACCGCCUCUCGCUUCACCCGAUCCCACUUCGCCUCCGCCGCAUACGGCGGUGAACCCCCCGCAGGAGGAGCGGAGAUGGCGGAAGCGGAGGUAAUGAUAACAAUGACAGUGAUGGGAGUGGUGAUGGUGAUGAGGACCGGGAUCGGAACAAGGCGGAGGCCCUGGCGGCAAUGGUGGAGGCAGGGAGGUUGUCGGAGAGUCUGUCGAAGGACUUAGCGGCGGCCAUAAAGGCCGGACGGGUGCGGGGCUUGAUUGUGAAGAGGUUCUUUGAGCUGGAGAAGUCGGCGGUGUUCAGAUGGUUGCUUGGGUUUGAUGGGUUCAAGGAGCGGUUGCUUGCGGACGACUUGUUCUUGACCAAAGUUGGCAUCGAGUGCGGCGUUGGAAGGAAACUAUUGAAAAUGUCUUGAAAACUUUAAGUUUUAGGACAAAUUAAAGGAUAAAGUGAAUAGUAGUACCUGAAUUAACUUUUUAGUAUAAAAAUGUGGUUUUUCGUUAAAGUGAAUAGUACCAGAAACUUUUCGUUAAAGUUCCUUAUUCACUAAGGUCUCUGCUUUUCAUUUACUCUCUUCUUUUUAUUUAGGUAUAAUCUUUCUAAGGCUCGAUAUGAAAAACUUUUUAAAUGACUGAAAGUGUUUUUGAUGAGAGUGUUUUUAGAGUUAAUCUCGAUGAAAUUCGAUGAACAAUUUCGCUAAGUGUAGCAACGGUCUUCGUAAUAGAAAUUUGAUGAUCAAUUUGCAUGUGAUUAUUCUUGUGGACGCCAAAAAUAUAACGGUCAAAUUUCUUAAAUUUUUUAGAGGAAGAAAUCUUGACCGUAUUGUGGCAUCAACUGUUCUUAUUUGGCGCCUCAACAUGAGAGUAACUUUUAUAUAGAACGAGUUCAUCGCCACAUGACAUUCUGGCCCAAUAAUACAUUGUUAUGUGGAGAAAAACUUGCACAUGACAAUGGAUUAUUGGACAAGGGACGCCACGUGCACAUGUUCCAUGUAAGUCAUUCGCUGCCAACAGAGUUGGCGUCCCUAUUAUGCAUUGGAUAUCCUUGACUUUUGAAUUGAAGUACCAUUUGAAGUAUCUCUUAGUAUGGAUGUAAAUUUGAGUGUAAUAACAAUAUACUCAUUAGUUCAAUGUCAGUGUGCCACUUAGUACUAUAGUCUUAAGUUCGAUUCUCGCAAUAGGCUUAGCCUUACAAUGGGCUAACAAUUAUGUGGUUUAAAUUUGCCUUUAGCGAGAAUCGAACCUAAGACCUCUCAUUUACAAGUGAAAAUGAAUAUCACUAGACCGUAGUACUAAGUGGCUAAAAAUGUGUUUGCAAUCUCAUCUAAUAGAAUGAUUUUUAACUCAUGAUUGUACUAUUAAACAAAAGAGUGUCAUAUUAAACUCAUGAGUAUGAUAUUAAUAUAUUAAACUUAUAAUAGUAUAGUCAGUGAUGUAGUCAGAAUUUUCAAAUAAUGAGAUCAUAAUGUCAAUCAAAAAAGUUUUAUUGUGCCCUUUCGUUGAUCACCUCCUAGGCACUUUUCAAUUUCUAUCAACAUAUGCUGAAAAUUUAUGCCGACAUAUGUCACUAAAAUGGUAGAAGAAAAUAUAAAAAGUAGGAGGAGGAGAUUGUAAUUGCCUUAACUAUUUAUAGAAGUCAAAUACAAUAUAUAAACAAAUAUACAUUAAGUUUUUGAAGUUGUUAAAAUAAAAAAUAAAGAAAACUAAUGAAAAUGGUUUGAAAACUUUGAAUUUUAACGAUAAGAACAAAAUAAAGAGUAAAGUGAAUUGUACUAUAAUUAACUUUUUAGUGUAAAAAUAUAAUUUUUUGUUAAAAUAAACAACAUCAAGAAGUUUUCGUUAAAUUUUGUUUAAAAAUAACCAAUGAUUUCAGGUCCGCCACUGACUCAAGCUAAUGUUAAUGCUAAAAUACAGACCAUAGAAAGAAACAAGGACAUGAACGUUUAGUCAUUCAUUUUCCCACAAAUUUAUUUGACUACCCAAUUGAUUCUGUCCACAAGGAAAACCCCAUUCAAAUAAUUUCGUCAAAACCAAAAAAAUAAGAGUAAAUUGUGGUAAUGGUCUUCUAAUUUUAAUUAAAUUGAAGUAAUGAUCUCUUAACUAAAAAUUUAUUACCAUUAGUCCUUUAACUUAUCAAAACGUGUAAUUAUGAUCAUUUUCGUCAACUUCAUUAGAAUUUUAUCAAAAUAAGUUAUGUUGAAAUGACCAUUACUACAAUUGAGGUCUCUCAACUCAUCAAAACGUGUAGCUAUGAUCAUUUUCUUCAACUUCGUUAGAAUUUUGUUAAAAUGAGUUAUGCUGGAAGGAUCAUUGCUACAAUUGGGUUAAAGUUGAGGGACCAUUGAUUUAAUUAGGUUAAAGUUGAGGAAUCAUUUCUCCAGUUGAAUUAAAGUUAAGGGACCAAUGGUGAUAAAUUUUUAGUUUAGAGACCAUAGCUGAAUUUGAUGAGUUGAAGAACCAAUGGUAAUGAAUUCGUUGUUUCAAUAAUUUUUAAUUGAGGAAUCGUUGUUUCAAUAAUUUUUAAUUGAGGAAUCGUUGUUUUAAUUGAGUAUGAUCAUUUCUACAAUUUCCUGGUAAAUAAAGAAAGAAAGAAAGAAGCAGGAAGAAGACCAAGACCCAGUCGGAUUGACCAUCUACUCCUCCAGACUUCCUCCUCCAACCAAAAUCCCACCAACCCAUUUUUCCUGAACAAUCUUUCUUUCUGGUUCUCCCAUUCUCUCUCUACUUCUUCAAAGAGGAGAGAGAGAAAGAGAGAGAGGGAGAUACUGAAAGUAAAGCAACCAACCAACAAUGGCGGCAGUCACCACCAUCUCCAACUUCGCCACCUUUCACUCUCAGUUUCUCCCUUCACCAACCAACCCCCACCAUUUCUCUUUAUCCCCAAAAAACUUCACUCUCACCAUCGUCGCCCGCACUAACAUCACCGCAACUCCCUCCGUCCAACUCACCGCCUCUCGCUUCACCCGAUCCCAC